rnacentral:rRNA from 2 species
GAGUAACACGUGGGUAACCUGCCCAUCAGAAGGGGAUAACACUUGGAAACAGGUGCUAAUACCGUAUAACAAUCGAAACCGCAUGGUUUUGAUUUGAAAGGCGCUUUCGGGUGUCGCUGAUGGAUGGACCCGCGGUGCAUUAGCUAGUUGGUGAGGUAACGGCUCACCAAGGCCACGAUGCAUAGCCGACCUGAGAGGGUGAUCGGCCACAUUGGGACUGAGACACGGCCCAAACUCCUACGGGAGGCAGCAGUAGGGAAUCUUCGGCAAUGGACGAAAGUCUGACCGAGCAACGCCGCGUGAGUGAAGAAGGUUUUCGGAUCGUAAAACUCUGUUGUUAGAGAAGAACAAGGAUGAGAGUAACUGUUCAUCCCUUGACGGUAUCUAACCAGAAAGCCACGGCUAACUACGUGCCAGCAGCCGCGGUAAUACGUAGGUGGCAAGCGUUGUCCGGAUUUAUUGGGCGUAAAGCGAGCGCAGGCGGUUUCUUAAGUCUGAUGUG